AUGCACGCUGGCGGCGUGCCUAAUACAUGCAAGUCGAGCGAACAGACGAGGAGCUUGCUCCUCUGACGUUAGCGGCGGACGGGUGAGUAACACGUGGAUAACCUACCUAUAAGACUGGGAUAACUUCGGGAAACCGGAGCUAAUACCGGAUAAUAUAUUGAACCGCAUGGUUCAAUAGUGAAAGACGGUUUUGCUGUCACUUAUAGAUGGAUCCGCGCCGCAUUAGCUAGUUGGUAAGGUAACGGCUUACCAAGGCAACGAUGCGUAGCCGACCUGAGAGGGUGAUCGGCCACACUGGAACUGAGACACGGUCCAGACUCCUACGGGAGGCAGCACUAGGGAAUCUUCCGCAAUGGGCGAAAGCCUGACGGAGCAACGCCGCGUGAGUGAUGAAGGUCUUCGGAUCGUAAAACUCUGUUAUUAGGGAAGAACAAAUGUGUAAGUAACUAUGCACGUCUUGACGGUACCUAAUCAGAAAGCCACGGCUAACUACGUG
rnacentral:rRNA from 1 species